UGAAGAGCCUAGGGUUCUGGGGCUGACUGCCUAUGGCCUUAUAAAUCAAAAUGAUAUGUAUUGGAAUUGUGAAGACCAACAAUGGGAAAGGAAAAGACUGAGGUUUGAAGCUUGGGACAGAGAGAGAGAGUAGAAGAACCUGCCCUGCAGCCGAUAGCCUGUCAGCUUGCAUCAGAACCCUGUGUCGGUGUACUCACUUUGCCUUCCAGACGUCCCAGAUUCAAGACCCACUUUUCUUCUGAGG